UUGCUCAGAGGAACUUUAAUUUCUACUAUCAUGUACUACCUCUGUUCUGAAAUAGUUGUCGCCAAAGAAAACCAGUUCAAGUUCUGUUACACUACGUUUUUUUGCACUUUUCCGUUUUACCCUCGCGUCGACCACACUCCCCGCCGCUCACUCCUCGCUCUCUCUUCUCCCCGUCGCCUCACUUCUGGCACCUUACCCACCUCGCGAUAACCACCACGUCGCUUACCGUCUCUCCCCAUCCGCCACCAUCUUUCUCCCGCCUCCACUCACACCCUUGUCCACUCGCAUCCUGCUCCACUCACACCCCGCAUAUGAGGUCAAAGCUUGGAGUUUUGCUCCGACAGCGAGCUUCCGGGCGACGGAGGUGCUCGAUCUGCGUGCAUAGCUACUUGAUCUACGGGCGCUUGCUCUCGAUCCGGCGACAGAGGUUGGUCCUAGAUGGCGAUGAGGAUGCCCUGGCCGUCACGACCAAGGAGGCGUGACACUGUGCGGGAGAUGGAGACGAGGCCGUUGCGGUGGUGGGGUUGGACUUCGUGGCCUGAGAUGAGGGGGCCAUUGGCGUCACGGUGGAGGCAGUGUGGCGCCGUAGCGGCCAAGGGCUAGUCUGCCUUUCCUGCCGCUGGAGGGAGACAACAACAGGGGACCGGAGAGGAGGAGGCGCACGCGUCCGGGACGGUGUCCGUUGUGUUCUCUAGCCGUACGUUGACGCUGGUGUCCACUACGCGGAGGGGUGGAGAAGCCCUGGGUGCUCGUCGAAAAGGGCAAUUGGCCGGAUCCGGAGCUCCGGUGCUGGGAGGUGGAGGCACGAGGAGGGCGCCGCGGUGCGUUGGUGUUGUUGUCCAGUGCACGGAAGAGCACAAGCGGUGCAUCGAGCAGCUAAGAUGCGGUCCUAUCCUUAUUUUAGUGCGAGGGACUCGACGGGGAUAGAAACACGUCUCGUCGUUUCGCAAGAA